UACGGGGGGGGCAAGCGUUGUUCGGAAUUACUGGGCGUAAAGCGUGCGCAGGCGGUUUUGUAAGCCAGAUGUGAAAUCCCCGGGCUUAACCUGGGAAUGGCAUUUGGGACUGCAAGGCUCGAGUGCGGCAGAGGAGACUGGAAUUCCUGGUGUAGCAGUGAAAUGCGUAGAUAUCAGGAGGAACACCGAUGGCGAAGGCAGGUCUCUGGGCUGACACUGACGCUCAUGCACGAAAGCGUGGGGAGCAACAGG
rnacentral:rRNA from 1 species